UAUCGAACCAAGUUCUGUUCAAAGAUCCCAAUAAAGAGUUGCUUGUGGUACCUUCGCUAAUGAACACGAGAUCAUUAAGAUCAAUCACAAGAAAUGUCAAAUUUCUUGCAAAAAGACUCAGGAUUUGAUCGAGAAGUCAUAUUAUAUUCCCAAGCUCAAGGAGAAAGUAGUGCGAGUAGUUAAUAGCUGUGUAGAGUGCAUUCUAGUUAAUGCAAUAGCAGGUCGGCAAGAUUGGUUCCUCACACCGAUAGACAAAGGGGAUAAGCCGCUGGUAACCUAUCAUGUUGGCCCUAUGGAGUUGACGAAAAAACGAUAUAAUCACAUUUUCGUGAUUGUAAAUGCCUUUUCCAAGUACGUGU
rnacentral:lncRNA from 1 species